rnacentral:rRNA from 1 species
AGAGUUUGAUCAUGGCUCAGGAUGAACGCUAGCGGCAGGCUUAAUACAUGCAAGUCGAGGGGCAGCAUGUCUGUAGCAAUACAGAUGAUGGCGACCGGCAAACGGGUGCGGAACACGUACACAACCUUCCUUUAAGCGGGGAAUAGCCCGGGGAAACCCGGAUUAAUACCCCAUAGUAAGUUGAAGAGGCAUCUCUUUACCUUUAAAGAUUUAUCACUUGAAGAUGGGUGUGCGGCUGAUUAGCUAGUUGGCGGGGUAACGGCCCACCAAGGCAACGAUCAGUAACUGGUGUGAGAGCACGACCAGUCACACGGGCACUGAGACACGGGCCCGACUCCUACGGGAGGCAGCGGUAAGGAAUAUUGGUCAAUGGACGAAAGUCUGAACCAGCCAUGCCGCGUGGAGGAUGAAGGCCCUCUGGGUUGUAAACUUCUUUUAUAUGGGACGAAAAAGGACCUUUCCAGGUCAACUGACGGUACCAUGUGAAUAAGCACCGGCUAACUCCGUGCCAGCAGCCGCGGUAAUACGGAGGGUGCAAGCGUUAUCCGGAUUCACUGGGUUUAAAGGGAGCGUAGGUGGGUUGGUAAGUCAGUGGUGAAAUCCCCGAGCUUAACUUGGGAACUGCCAUUGAUACUAUCAGCCUUGAAUAUUGUGGGGGUCAGCGGAAUAUGUCAUGUAGCGGUGAAAUGCUUAGAGAUGACAUAGAACACCAAUUGCGAAGGCAGCUGGCUACGCAUAUAUUGACACUGAGGCUCGAAAGCGUGGGGAUCAAACAGGAUUAGAUACCCUGGUAGUCCACGCCCUAAACUAUGGAUACUCGACAUACGCGAUACACUGUGUGUGUCUG